rnacentral:rRNA from 1 species
CCUACGGGUGGCUGCAGUGAGGAAUCUUGCGCAAUGGGGGAAACCCUGACGCAGCAACGCCGCGUGAGUGAGGAAGGUCUUCGGAUCGUAAAGCUCUGUCGGGUGGAACGAAAUGUAUGGGGUUAAUAGCCUUCAUACUUGACGGUACCACCAAAGGAAGCACCGGCUAACUCCGUGCCAGCAGCCGCGGUAAUACGGGGGGUGCAAGCGGUGUUCGGAAUUAGUGUACGCGGAUUGGGAGUACACGGCUGAAAGCCCUGGGCUUAACCCAGGAAGUGCAUUUGAAACUGCCAGGCUUGAGUAGGGGAGAGGGAAGUGGAAUUCCUGGUGUAGAGGUGAAAUUCGUAGAUAUCAGGAGGAACACCGGUGGCGAAGGCGACUUCCUGGCCCUAUACUGACGCUGAGACGCGAGAGCGUGGGUAGCAAACAGGAUUAGAUACCCCGGUAGUC